AGCAGCCGCGGUAAUUCCAGCUUCAAUAGCGUAUAUUAAAGUUGUUGCAGUUAAAAAGCUCGUAGUUGAAUUUCGGGGUCAGUAGAUUGGUCGUGCCACUGGUAUGUACUGGCCUCACUGGCUCCUCCUUCCUGAUGAACCGUAAUGCCAUUAAUUUGGUGUUGCGGGGAGACUGGACUGUUACUUUGAAAAAAUUAGAGUGUUUAAAGCAGGCUAACGCUUGAAUACAUUAGCAUGGAAUGAUGAAAUAGGACGUUCGAUCUUAUUUUGUUGGUUUCUAGGAUUGACGUAAUGAUUAAUAGGGAUAGUUGGGGGCAUUAGUAUUCAAUUGUCAGAGGUGAAAUUCUUGGAGUAAU
rnacentral:rRNA from 1 species